GAACAGAAUAUACUCCGAAGUCCACUGUCCUGUGGCAGUUGCUAUGGCGGUCGGGCCGACAGGGUGCAUCCGGAAACGGAUACGCCUCCCAGUGCGGAAAGGAGAUUACGGCUGUCAGCCG
rnacentral:ncRNA from 1 species